rnacentral:rRNA from 1 species
GACGAGGGAUGUAGAGUAAGUGGGAGUGCCACAAGGCACGAUAAUGAAACACCACUACCCUUGACAAUUCUAUACCAA